rnacentral:rRNA from 1 species
UGGGGAAUAUUGGACAAUGGGCGCAAGCCUGAUCCAGCAAUGCCGCGUGAGUGAUGAAGGCCUUAGGGUUGUAAAGCUCUUUCGCACGCGACGAUGAUGACGGUAGCGUGAGAAGAAGCCCCGGCUAACUUCGUGCCAGCAGCCGCGGUAAUACGAAGGGGGCUAGCGUUGUUCGGAAUUACUGGGCGUAAAGGGCGCGUAGGCGGCCUGUUUAGUCAGAAGUGAAAGCCCCGGGCUCAACCUGGGAAUAGCUUUUGAUACUGGCAGGCUUGAGUUCCGGAGAGGAUGGUGGAAUUCCCAGUGUAGAGGUGAAAUUCGUAGAUAUUGGGAAGAACACCGGUGGCGAAGGCGGCCAUCUGGACGGACACUGACGCUGAGGCGCAG